UGGGGAAUUUUGGACAAUGGACGCAAGUCUGAUCCAGCCAUGCCGCGUGCGGGAAGAAGGCCUUCGGGUUGUAAACCGCUUUUGUCAGGGAAGAAACGAGUUUCUCUAAUACAGAGACUUAAUGACGGUACCUGAAGAAUAAGCACCGGCUAACUACGUGCCAGCAGCCGCGGUAAUACGUAGGGUGCAAGCGUUAAUCGGAAUUACUGGGCGUAAAGCGUGCGCAGGCGGUUAUAUAAGACAGAUGUGAAAUCCCCGGGCUCAACCUGGGAACUGCCUUUGUGACUGCAUAGCUAGAGUACGGUAGAGGGGGAUGGAAUUCCGCGUGUAGCAGUGAAAUGCGUAGAUAUGCGGAGGAACACCGAUGGCGAAGGCAAUCCCCUGGACCUGUACUGACGCUCAUGCACGAAGGCGUGGGGAGCAAACA
rnacentral:rRNA from 1 species